ACAAUACCCAGACGGAGAGAUUUCGUCAGCCGUAUCGCGGCAGAACAGCGCGUUAAAAUCCGUUCAGUUGGUUUCGGAUAGCACCGGCUCGCGCGCCGCGCAGCCCACGUGCUUUUCGAGCCGGAGAGAGAGUCGCGCCUUUCGCUUCACAUUCGGAUGUAAACAAGAGAGGAGAAUUUGCCCAGUGAAUAUGGCCGACUUCCGGCUUCACCACGGCUUCACAACGAGUGACGUCAGGGCCUCUCCUCACCUUUUCCUUCCUCCAUGAUGCU
rnacentral:lncRNA from 1 species